CCUACGGGAGGCAGCAGUGAGGAAUAUUGGUCAAUGGGAGAGAUCCUGAACCAGCCAAGCCGCGUGAGGUAAGACGGCCCUAUGGGUUGUAAACCUCUUUUGUCGGAGAACAAAACCCGGGCCGUGUCCCGGCCUGCGUGUAUCCGAAGCAAAAGCAUCGGCUAACUCCGUGCCAGCAGCCGCGGUAAUACGGAGGAUGCGAUCGUUAUCCGGAUUUAUUGGGUUUAAAGGCUGCGUAGGCGGUCCGUUAAGUCAGCGGUAAACUUGCGGGGCUCAACCCCGUCGAGCCGUUGAAACUGGCAGACUUGAGUUGGCGAGAAGUACGCGGAAUGCGCGGUGUAGCGGUGAAAUGAAUAGAUAUCGCGCAGAACUCCGAUUGCGAAGGCAGCGUACCGGCGCCAGACUGACGCUGAGGCACGAAAGCGUGGGGAUCGAACAGGAUUAGAUACCCUUGUAGUC
rnacentral:rRNA from 1 species